GAUGGAAUAUAGCCCAUUUAGGGUACCCGAAGGCCUGCCAUCUGCCGCACAGAUCCGAUCCUUAGGAUCGAAUCAAAACCGACGGCUGAGAACGGUCCAACGUCGAAGCAAACUACCAUAAAGAGAGAGGCGGCCGGCCGGCGGCGCCGCCAGCCGAGCUGGCCGCCGUCCAUGGUGGCGCCGUGUGCUGCUCCGUCGAAGAGCGCAGUUGCGUCGUCCGGCACGACGAGCGGGUAUCAUCCAUGGCAUCAUCCAAGCCUCUCGCCGUCAUCGCGCUCUUCCUCCUCGUUGCUCUCCUCAUGGUUGCCGAUGCGCAGCCGGCACCCAAGAUAGAUUGCCCAUCGGCGUGCCAGGCUCGAUCGCGAAGAACUGGAAGAACAAGAUGUGCAACAAGGAUUGCAACAUCUGCUGUGACAAGUGCAACUGCGUCCCCUCCGGCACCAGCUAGGUGACCCGUAACGAAUGCCCUUGCUAUGACAACCUAAAAAACUCCAAGAACGGCAAGCUCAACUGCCCUUAGACUCGGGGACGGAACCUGUGGCGCGUGCAGGCGGCAAGCUACCCCAUGGCAAACUUUUUCCUGAAAACAACCAUAAUUGUUAGUUCAAAGUGCUCUAAAUUUGUA